rnacentral:sRNA from 1 species
AUUACUCGAAUUUAUAGGAGUUUUUUCUAUAAAGAAUAGCUUGGAUUUGAACUGUGUUUAAAAACAGAGGUUGGUAGAGUAUCAGCCUCUUUCUUGUCU